rnacentral:tRNA from 2 species
UCCGGUGGGGCAACUUUUGGCAGUUGCAACGAGCUGUUAACUCGUCACCCAGCAGGUUCGAUUCCUGCCACCGGAGC